AAGCCACACUAAACGUUGAGUUGGCCGGUGUGCUGACAAACGAACAGGCGUUUUAAGGAUACGUUCGUUGGGUAGGGGAGCGUUCUGUAAGCCGUUGAAGGUGGCCUGUGAGGGUUGCUGGAGGUAUCAGAAGUGCGAAUGCUGACAUAAGUAACGAUAAUGCGGGUGAAAAACCCGCACGCCGGAAGACCAAGGGUUCCUGUCCAACGUUAAUCGGGGCAGGGUGAGUCGACCCCUAAGGCGAGGCUGAAAAGCGUAGUCGAUGGGAAACAGGUUAAUAUUCCUGUACUUGGUGUUACUGCGAAGGGGGGACGGAGAAGGCUAGGCUAGCCGGGCGACGGUUGUCCCGGUUUAAGCAUGUAGGCGGAGUGACCAGGUAAAUCCGGUUGCUUAUCAACGCUGAGGUGUGAUGACGAGUCACUACGGUGAUGAAGUAGUUGAUGCCAUGCUUCCAGGAAAAGCCUCUAAGCAUCAGGUAACAUGAAAUCGUACCCCAAACCGACACAGGUGGUCAGGUAGAGAAUACUCAGGCGCUUGAGAGAACUCGGGUGAAGGAACUAGGCAAAAUGGUGCCGUAACUUCGGGAGAAGGCACGCUGGCAUUAGGUAAAGGGACUUGCUCCCGGCGCCGAAGCCAGUCGCAGAUACCAGCUGGCUGCAACUGUUUAAUAAAAACACAGCACUGUGCAAACACGAAAGUGGACGUAUACGGUGUGACGCCUGCCCGGUGCUGGAAGGUUAAUUGAUGGGGUCAGCCGCAAGGCGAAGCUCUUGAUCGAAGCCCCAGUAAACGGCGGCCGUAACUAUAACGGUCCUAAGGUAGCGAAAUUCCUUGUCGGGUAAGUUCCGACCUGCACGAAUGGCGUAAUGAUGGCCAGGCUGUCUCCACCCGAGACUCAGUGAAAUUGAACUCGCUGUGAAGAUGCAGUGUACCCGCGGCAAGACGGAAAGACCCCGUGAACCUUUACUAUAGCUUGACACUGAACAUUGAGCCUUGAUGUGUAGGAUAGGUGGGAGGCAUAGAAGUGUGGACGCCAGUCUGCAUGGAGCCAACCUUGAAAUACCACCCUUUAAUGUUUGAUGUUCUAACUCGGCCCCGUAAUCCGGGGUGAGGACAGUGUCUGGUGGGUAGUUUGACUGGGGCGGUCUCCUCCCAAAGAGUAACGGAGGAGCACGAAGGUUAGCUAAUCACGGUCGGACAUCGUGAGGUUAGUGCAAAGGCAUAAGCUAGCUUGACUGCGAGAGUGACGGCUCGAGCAGGUACGAAAGUAGGUCUUAGUGAUCCGGUGGUUCUGAAUGGAAGGGCCAUCGCUCAACGGAUAAAAGGUACUCCGGGGAUAACAGGCUGAUACCGCCCAAGAGUUCAUAUCGACGGCGGUGUUUGGCACCUCGAUGUCGGCUCAUCACAUCCUGGGGCUGAAGUAGGUCCCAAGGGUAUGGCUGUUCGCCAUUUAAAGUGGUACGCGAGCUGGGUUUAGAACGUCGUGAGACAGUUCGGUCCCUAUCUGCCGUGGGCGUUGGAAGAUUGAGAGGGGCUGCUCCUAGUACGAGAGGACCGGAGUGGACGAAUCACUGGUGUUCGGGUUGUCAUGCCAAUGGCAUUGCCCGGUAGCUAAAUUCGGAAGAGAUAACCGCUGAAAGCAUCUAAGCGGGAAACUUGCCUCGAGAUGAGUCUUCCCUGGGGCUUUAAGCCCCCUGAAGGAACGUUAAAGACGAUGACGUUGAUAGGCUGGGUGUGUAAGUGCAGCGAUGCAUUGAGCUAACCAGUACUAAUGAACCGUGAGGCUUAACCUU
rnacentral:rRNA from 1 species